UACGUAGGUCCCGAGCGUUGUCCGGAUUUAUUGGGCGUAAAGCGAGCGCAGGUGGUUUAUUAAGUCUGGUGUAAAAGGCAGUGGCUCAACCAUUGUAUGCAUUGGAAACUGGUAGACUUGAGUGCAGGAGAGGAGAGUGGAAUUCCAUGUGUAGCGGUGAAAUGCGUAGAUAUAUGGAGGAACACCGGUGGCGAAUGCGGCUCUCUGGCCUGUAACUGACACUGAGGCUCGAAAGCGUGGGGAGCAAACAGG
rnacentral:rRNA from 1 species